AGCAGCCGCGGUAAUUCCAGCUCCAAUAGCGUAUAUUAAAGUUGUUGCAGUUAAAAAGCUCGUAGUUGAAUUUCGGGACCAAUAUGUUGGUCGUGCCUCGGUACGCACUGGCAUUAUUGGCUUCUCCCUUCUGACGAACUACGAUGCCAUUAAUUUGGUGUCGUAGGGAAUCAGGACUGUUACUUUGAAAAAAUUUAGAGUAGUUUAAAGCAGGCUCGCGCUUGAAUACAUUAGCAUGGAAUAAUGAAAUAGGACGUUUGAUUCUAUUUUGUUGGUUCCUAGGAUCGACGUAAUGAUUAAUAGGGAUAGUUGGGGGCAUUAGGUAUUCAAU
rnacentral:sRNA from 1 species